rnacentral:rRNA from 1 species
UACGUAGGGUGCAAGCGUUAUCCGGAAUUAUUGGGCGUAAAGAGCUCGUAGGCGGUUUGUCGCGUCUGCUGUGAAAACUGGAGGCUCAACCUCCAGCCUGCAGUGGGUACGGGCAGACUAGAGUGCGGUAGGGGAGAUUGGAAUUCCUGGUGUAGCGGUGGAAUGCGCAGAUAUCAGGAGGACACCGAUGGCGAAGGCAGAUCUCUGGGCCGUAACUGACGCUGAGGAGCGAAAGCAUGGGGAGCGAACAGG